rnacentral:rRNA from 1 species
CAAUAGCGUAUAUUUAAGUUGUUGCAGUUAAAAAGCUCGUAGUUGGAUUUCGGGUGGGACGCAGCGGUCUCGCAUUGCGUUUGUACUGCUGCAGCCCUCCUUCUUGCCGGUGGCGGCCUCUCGGACUUCACUGUCUGGGGGUCAGAAUCGGCGAUGUUACUUUGAGUAAAUUAGAGUGUUCAAAGCAAGCUUACGCUCUGAAUAUAAUAGCAUGGGAUAACACGACAGGACUCUGGCCUAUCGUGUUGGUCUAUAGGACCAGAGUAAUGAUUAAGAGGGACAGUCGGGGGCAUUCGUAUUCCGUUGUCAGAGGUGAAAUUCUUGGAUUUACGGAAGACGAACAUCUGCGAAAGCAUUUGCCAAGGAUGUUUUCAUUGA